rnacentral:misc_RNA from 1 species
GAUGAAGAACGUAGCGAAAUGCGAUAAGUAGUGUGAAUUGCAGAAUUCAGUGAAUCAUCGAAUCUUUGAACGCACAUUGCGCCCUUUGGGAUUCCUUAGGGCAUGCCUGUUCGAGCGUCAUCUAAACCUUCAAGCCCUGCUUGGUGUUGGGUGCCUGUCCCGCCUCCGCGCGUGGACUCACCUCAAAUCCAUUGGCGGCCCCCGCGUCGGCCACGAGCGCAGCAGAAACGCGAACUCGUGAGCCCGUCCGGGCGGCUCCCAGAAGCUAACCCCCAAUUUUUGACCUCGGAUCAGGUAGGGAUACCCGCUGAACUUAAGCAUAUCAAUAAGCGGAGGA